rnacentral:lncRNA from 9 species
GGAAAUCCACGCCCACGUGCGCCGGGCGCGGAGGCUUGCUAACUUGUGCUGACCCGUUUGGGCAUCUUGUACCUUUUAAAUAGAGUGCCUUUUGGCUUAUGCAGUGUCACGUGGUCUCUCAGGACUCCUGGCAGGUAUUUGAUAAAUACUACGUUGCUGCUAGAGACUGUAAUACUGCAGUAGACACCGUUAUUACAUCAGUCAUAUCACAUAUGUGUGAGUAUAUCUAUAGAACUAGAAACGGGAUUGCUAGGUGGAAAGAUACGUGCAUUUGUAAUUUUCCUAGAUCGUGCGAAGCUGCUGUACCAGCCUCCUAUGUAAGGCAGUUUGGCACUAACAAAAUUGAUCUUUGCCAGUCUGUUAAGUGAAAAAUGGUAUUUCUAUGUAGCUGUAAUUUGCAUUUGUCUUAGUUUAAAUGAGGAUGAGCAUAUUUGAAUGCUCUUUGUAUUUCUUUUCCUAUGAAUGUUCCCUUACCCAUUUUCAAUUGGAUUGUUCAUCUUUUCUGUAUCUUUUUGUGCAACUUUUUUCAAUAUUGGGAAAUGGGUUCUUGUUCUAUGAAAUGAGCUGAAUUUUUUUUUUUUAUUCUAAGCACCUCCCCUUAGGAAUUGAGAAAAAUAGAACAAUUUGAAUUAUUAUCUCACAAUGUUUUUGGCCAAGUAGUAAAAGCUGCCCUCUUCCAUUCACAGACUUUGUGCUAAACACAUCUUUAAUCUUUAAAACCUCAUUGCCUGGUAGAUAAUAGCAUCUUCAUUUUACAAAUAAAAAAACUGAAGUUCAGAGAGAUUCAUUUUUUUUCACUCAUUCAACAAAUAUUCAUGAAGCAUGUACUACAUUCUUUACUUUGGGGAUAUAGCAGUGAGUAAAACAGAAGAGUCCCUUGUUCAUGUGGACUUACAUUCUAGGGUGGAAAUAUAUACCACAAACAAGUAAACAAAUAAGAUACUUUCUGACAGUGUUAAGUGCUGCAAAGAAAAUAAACCAAAGUAACAUACCUGGCAAGGAAUGAAGGAGCCACUGUUAGGUUGGGUGGUGUCAGAAGUCCUGUGAGGAGUUCCCAUGGUGGUACAGCAAUAAUGACCCCAACUAGUCGUUAUUGCUGCAUCCAUGAGGACGCAGGUUCAAUCCCUGGCCUCGCUCAGUGGGUUAAGGAUCCAGAGUUGCUGUGAGCUGUGGUGUAGAUCGCAGUCGAGGCUCGGAUCCUGUGUUGCUGUGGCUGUGGUAUAGCUCUGAUUCGACCCCUAGCCUGAGAACUUACAUAUGCCGUGGGUGUGCCCCUUAAAAAAAAAAAAAAAAGUGCACUGUG